CAGCCAGUCCGCCCUUUGUGGGUGUGCACUUGGUGAAUUCUGGCAUCCUCCUGAUUGGUGUUAUCAUCACUUCAUUGUGUUGAUGGCAGCUGUCAGGACCGUUACUUUGAGAAAAUUAGAGUGUUUCAAGCAGGCUUGUUGCCUUGAAUACUGCAGCAUGGAAUAACAAGAUAGGAUUUCGGUUCUAUUUUGUUGGUUUCUAGGACUGAAG
rnacentral:rRNA from 2 species